CCUACGGGUGGCAGCAGUCGAGAAUCAUUCACAAUGGGGGAAACCCUGAUGGUGCGACGCCGCGUGGGGGAAUGAAGGUGUUCGGAUUGUAAACCCCUUUCAUGUGGGAGCAAAUUAAAAAGAUAGUACCACAAGAGGAAGAGACGGCUAACUCUGUGCCAGCAGCCGCGGUAAUACAGAGGUCGCAAGCGUUGUUCGGAAUCACUGGGCGUAAAGCGUGCGUAGGCUGUUUCGUAAGUCGUGUGUGAAAGUCGCGGGCUCAACCCGCGGACGGCACAUGAUACUGCGAGACUAGAGUGAUGGAGGGGGAACCGGAAUUCUCGGUGUAGCAGUGAAAUGCGUAGAUAUCGAGAGGAACACUAGUGGCGAAGGCGGGUUCCUGGACAUUAACUGACGCUGAGGCACGAAGGCCAGGGGAGCGAAAGGGAUUAGAUACCCCAGUAGUC
rnacentral:rRNA from 1 species